GACGAGUUAGUAGUAGCUUCCGCUUCCGGGGAAGGCAAGGUGCAUCUUUAAUCCGUGCUGAGGAGAAAAACAGCUCACGCACCCACGUUCAACCGUGCUGUAACUCUGCCCGCAGCAUAAAUUUAGAACUCAACGAUUUGUAAUAUGGGCCAGAUCUGUGUCUGGUCUUGUUCUUCAGGGCUGCGUCUAACACCUCUGUGAUUACGAGGACAUUUCUGUGCUCUUCUUUAGCAGGGAUGAGAACAGCUCAAGGUGACUUCAAAACCUCUUCUGCUGACAAAGGCCUAGAAAUGCUUCUGUAGCUGUGGAAGCGGACGGCUGGAUGGAGACCAUAAUCUCUGUCACCCUGAAUGACCACUUCCCUCUAUGCAUUUGGGCUUUUAUUGGAAUACAAAAGAAAAAUGACUGUGUCUUUCCUCCUUGCAGAGAAACCCCUCUGAACUUCAACUGAUGCAGAGGGGGAAACUACAGACAGAGACUCUGGACCACAUGGAGUGCCUUUCUCUGCUCCACUUGAGCCAACCUGGCUGUUGCUGGGAUUGUGGAUGCAGUGUGGACUCCACCAUUUUCCACCUAGAAGUGCUCAAAUGAGGCAUGCAGCUUAAGAAAAAUAGGGGAAGAUACCUUUUUUAGCUGUGUUUCUAAUGAUGAUGCAUAUAUUCUCAAAUAUGCAUGCAUCAGCACAAACAUCGGCCAGACGAGGCACAAGACAAACAAGUCAUCAAGGACAAAUAAAAGGAGGUUCAUUCAUCGCAUUCAGGGCUGGAAUCUUUAAUGGUCACCAAAUGAACUAAGAUAACUAAGUAACCAUUGUAAAUAUUAAUCUUUAAAGGAAAACAAUACUCCCAACAACAGGAAGCCUGAUAAGACAUUGGAUGUUGCCAUCAGUGUUAUGGAGUCUCUCUAAUUUCCUUAGUUUUUUCUUAUGCCUGUAGAGGGAUCAGGAAGGGGAACAUAUGGUAUCUUUCAAAGGAAGUAAAUUAACAUUAUUAAUAGCUAAUGUGGGAGAGGUGAAACAGU
rnacentral:lncRNA from 1 species